AUUGAACGCUGGCGGCAUGCCUAACACAUGCAAGUCGAGCGAGUGGCGGACGGGUGAGUGAUGUAUGGGGCUCUGCCCGAUGGAGGGGGAAAACUAAUGGAAACGGUGGAUAAUACCGAAUACUACCAGAUGACCCCAUAUGGGAGUAGCUAGUAGGUGGGGUAAAGGCUCACGUAGGCGACGAUCCCUAGCUGGUCUGAGAGGAUGAUCAGCCACACUGGGACUGAGAAACGGCCCAGACUCCUACGGGAGGCAGCAGUGGGGAAUAUUGCACAAUGGGCGCAAGCCUGAUGCAGCCAUGCCGCGUGUAUGAAGAAGGCCUUAGGGUUGUAAAGUACUUUCAGCGGGGAGGCGUUACCCGCAGAAGAAGCACCGGCUAACUCCGUGCCAGCAGCCGCGGUAAUAC
rnacentral:rRNA from 1 species